CGUCAAGUCUGGCUUCAGGUUUUCAAUUGUCUCAUGAAUGUCAAUUUAUUCUUUUUACAUUUUGUUUGAAUUGGAAUCCAGACAAGCCUGGCAGGCUGAGUGGGGACAUUCCUGAAGUCUCCUUCCAUCUGUGGAUUCCCGCUGUGUGUUGUCUCCUGGCUGGGUGUCUGCUGUGCCUCUCUGUGCUCCUCCUCACAGUGCAGUGGAGGGGGAGAGAGGAAGGAGCCUGGGCCGCGUGAGUCUCCGGCUGUUGGUGCAGGUGGGUUCUUCCGGUUCCUCCUCGGCAGGAACAGAGGAGAAAGGCCACCUGAGCUCUCGCUGUCCUAGGUCUCGGCUCAGCCCACAUUGCAGCUCUGGGUCACCUGCAGAAUGGGCAAGGUGAAGGCACCCAGCAUUUCAGAAGGACCUCUGAGGAUCGAAGGCCCGACUCGAGGCUCCACGGAGGCCAGGUAGCUGCCCCAGAGGUAGCAACAAGCCGCGCACCCCUUUAAGUGGAUCAGCAUGGGAUUCUUUUGCUCUUGGCUCCGUUGGGUCUUGUAACUAGACAAGGUUAGACUUAGACACCAUCUAAACCUGCUCUUCCGGUUUCAGAAGCGUCCUCCCUUCCUGAUGCUCCGGAAGCUGCCCCAGGGAAAGGCCAGGGACUGCCCCUCACACCCCCAGCACGGAAGGCGGCUGGUCUAACAGCCUGCAGGCAUUCGCCUCUGACCGGCGCAUCUGCUAGUUUGGGGGAAAAGGAAGAAGAUAUAAGUUCAUUUUUCUCUGUCACGUGUGUCAAGACAAGCAUUAGAGGGUGGGGGGGAGACUCGGCUCCCUGGAAGGACACGGCUUUACCCACUGCUGCCAGAGCCAUUGCCAAAGGCCCGGAGAAAUGCCUCUCACACUGGUUAGGGCAGCAGAGGGCAGCUGAGAGCUGGAUCCAGGACCCUGGGCAGAAGGGACACCAGGGGAAAGACGAGGCUGCUUGGCCCAGACGGAGCUGAGCAGGACAUCCCGCUGAGAAGCACGGAGGCCGCACCCUCCCGGGGGCUGGGACAGCAGACGUUCAGCCGCAGGCCUGGGCCGGAGGUGCUCCAGCUACACAAGGCUGACCAUCCCCACCCCAAAGGCUCCUCAUCCAGGGAAGAGAGUCCAACCCGGAGCCUUGGCUUCGCCUGAAGCAGUCCUCAGGCAGUGUCCUGUUCAGCCAGCAGUACCCCAGCUCCAAACGGCCCAGACAGGGACGAAGAAAGAUCCAAACUGAGGGACAGGGCAGCGCAGAGCCCAGCACCGAGGCACGGUCGGACAGCUGGUAACAGGGCACAGACGUGGCCUUCGCGUUGACUCCUGUCUUAUGCACCAUUUCCUUGGCUUAUCUGAACAACGGGGUUCUGCUGACGUAGAGGAGGCCCAGGCCAGCUGACCGUGUUGCGCAUGGGAAUGGAGUCUGCUCCUUUCCUAAUGCUUGGGGUGGUCAUUAGACGGGCAGAGAGAGAGGCAGGAGAACAGGAUGGCCUGCCAUCGCCCUUGAUUAAAAGUCAGACUUAACAUAAAUAUCUCACUGGCUUCUCGUGUUUGCACCUGGAGAACCAAGUCCCUGGGCAUUUUGAUCCUGACGUUUGCCUCAGACGGUUUGCCAAGGGUGUGGUGGGAGCAGGUGGCUGUGUGAGACGCGCUUUGGUCUUUGGACUCAUGGGUUCUUGUCAGGACCUCUGCCUCCAGCUGGCCUCUGCGUGGAUUCCACAAGGCCCCGGUUUGAGAAUGCAGAGAUGUCACAUGGCUGGAGAACAAGUCGUCGUCAGCUGCUGCUUCCUGGCGAUUCCCUGGUGCCCGCACCACUCGGUGGCGCUUGCCACGCUGCCUGGCCACCCACGCUGUGCCAGGUGUGCCCAGACCCCUUGGAGCCGCAGGUCAGCAACCUCCUUCCCAUCAGGUCUUUCCCAGGUCUGCUGCUGGAGCAGACCCCCACCUCGCCCAGAUAGCUCCCAGCUGCUCCCCCCGUGCUGUGCCCUGUGCUUGGGACAGCCUCACCUGGGGACUCCCCUGCUGUCCCCGGCACUGGCUGCAGGGUUUCCUGCCACCUCACAUGACUCACUGUUCAACCGAGGGUGGUUCUGAGAAGGAGGAAAACUUGUCAACUUGUGGGACAAACGGUUAAUUGGCCAACGUUUGAUUAUAUUGCUGGAUCUAUAAAGCAGGCCCAUUAAUAAGUGAGUUUCAAAAAUAAAGUUCUUGUUAAAAAUAACUUGCAUCCACGUUCAUGGAAGCCAGCGACGCAGACGUCUUUACAUGUUCUAACUACGAG
rnacentral:lncRNA from 1 species